GCAAGUAUAGUUUAAUAAUAAAACGUUAGAUUGUGAUUCUAAAAACAGAGGUUAAACUCCUCUUACCUGCC
rnacentral:tRNA from 1 species